AGCUCUAGGAACUACAGUCCAAUUUGUUCAAUCACUUUCUCUCUCUUCUUCCUCCCCAUUUCUUCCCAAGGUAUGUGAUUUUUCUUCUCUUCGAAAUUUCCCAUUCUAUCUGCUAUGGCUCUCUAUAAAUACUGAUUUCUUGCGAAUAUUAUGUAAGUGUACCAUUCUCUCAGAGCAUUCUUGUAGAACAAAGCGUGUUUCGAAUUGCAUGACGAGUGCUUCAGAGCUAUUCUUCACUAGGAGGUCUCGUUACGGCCGAACCGAUCCCGAAUUAGGGUCCGAUUCAUUGCCGGGUCGAAUUUCUCACCACCACAGCAUUCACAAUCGCCGCCGUCAUCAUCACAACCACCAGCAAGGCGGCAAUAAUAUCCGGCGUGAUCGCCUCGAUGCCAGCGAUUGUGAACCUCUGCACCGCUCUCCUCACCGCCCUAGACGUUUCGCUCCUUCUGUAAGAGUUUGAUUUUUUUUAAUUAUAUGUAUAAUGAUAAUAUAAAAAAAUUUAGGUGCUGCUUUAUCUAUUGUGUUGCGCUGGCAUAAUAUAUUCGACCAGAGCUUCUAAAUUGCGUACAGCAAGACGAGAGUUUGAGUCACAGUGGUCAACAUACAUAUAUUAAAUAUUAGAAUUUCUAAAUAGCUGAAUCCAGAUGUUGUUUCAGCGUAUCCUUUCCUUUUUCCUUUUCCUAUUAUCGGUUUUUAACUCUAAUUUCUUGCCUGGGUUAGUUAGAUUAAGGAAAGGGGGAAUGAACUAAAUACGCCUCAACGGCACUGAAUGUAGAUAAUACACAAAUGGUUCACCGCCUUAAUAUGAUAUUUUCUGAUGGGGUAAGCGGUCGCUUUGACUGAAGGACUGCUGAGAUUGUGUCGCAAUAAAAGAUAAUACUUUUAAUUGGCAUCAUAUGUGCCUUAUCGUACUUCCGAACACAGCAUAUGAUGAUAAAUGUAACAACUAAGC
rnacentral:lncRNA from 1 species